CCCACUUCCACCACUCCCCCUGCUACCAGCAAGGCUCCUAGGACUAGGAAAACCUCCUAAUGGCAUCGUUGGUCUCUUCAUAACAAGAAGAAAAACCAGACCCAUCUCCUGCAAGAUGUGGAUGAGGUCACAAUCCUGUUCCCCUCAGUGACAGAAAGGAGUAUACAAUGCACUGGUGAUUUGGAGGAUGUGGAAGAUGGAGCUCUGGAUGGCUCUCCUGCAUCUUCCAGAGAAGGACACUCCCAAAGUGGCCAAAACAGAGUGGAAGAAACUGUCCUGCUCUUAACUGCCACAUCACAGAUCUUCAACAACCAAGAGGACUGCAAGGAAGGAGAGGCUGAUGUCCCAGACGACAUCCGACCUGCUCCUGAAUGUCAGAGCGUGUCACAAAAGAUUGAUGAUAA